CAGUAGCCGCGGUAAAACGGAGGGGGCUAGCGUUGUUCGGAAUUACUGGGCGUAAAGCGCACGUAGGCUGCUUUGUAAGUCAGAGGCGAAAGCCCGGGGCUCAACCCCGGAUGUGCCUUUGAGACUGCAGGGCUAGAACGUCGGAGAGGUGAGUGGAAUUCCGAGUGUAGAGGUGAAAUUCGUAGAUAUUCGGAAGAACACCAGUGGCGAAGGCGGCUCACUGGACGACUGUUGACGCUGAGGUGCGAAAGCGUGGGGAGCAAACAGGAUUAGAUACCCCUGUAGUCCCUGUCUCUUAUAA
rnacentral:rRNA from 1 species